UACGGAGGGUGCAAGCGUUAACCGGAUUUACUGGGUUUAAAGGGUGUGUAGGCGGACAUGUAAGUCAGUGGUGAAAUCUCCGAGCUUAACUCGGAAACUGCCGUUGAUACUAUAUGUCUUGAAUAUCGUUGAGGUAGGCGGAAUAUAUCAUGUAGCGGUGAAAUGCUUAGAUAUGAUAUAGAACACCGAUUGCGAAGGCAGCUUACUAAACGGUCAUUGACGCUGAGGCACGAAAGCGUGGGGAUCAAACAGG
rnacentral:misc_RNA from 1 species